UACGUAGGGGGCGAGCGUUGUCCGGAAUCAUUGGGCGUAAAGCGCGAGCAGGCGGCUUUGAGAGCCCGGCGUGAAAGCCCCCGGCUCAACCGGGGGGAGGCCGUCGGAGACCUUGGAGCUAGAGGCCGGCAGGGGUGAGUGGAAUUCCCGGUGUAGUGGUGGAAUGCGUAGAGAUCGGGAGGAACACCAGUGGCGAAGGCGGCUCACUGGGCCGGACCUGACGCUGAGGCGCGAAAGCGUGGGGGAGCGAUCCGG
rnacentral:rRNA from 1 species